AAUGGACUGCUUUCAGGGAGUGAUCGAACAAUCGCAUCGGAAACGAGGCGAUAAGAUGAGCCGGGCCCGGCAGGGUGGUUUGCGACCGAACCGGCGGCACGUCCAGAGGGGAUCUGACAUGAUCUCGUUUGUCCUCGACGUUGCUGGUAAAACCCAAUCCAGUCUCCCGAUUC
rnacentral:ncRNA from 1 species